AUUGAACGCUGGCGGCAUGCCUUACACAUGCAAGUCGAACGGCAGCACGGGAGCAAUCCUGGUGGCGAGUGGCGAACGGGUGAGUAAUAUAUCGGAACGUGCCCAGUCGUGGGGAUAACGUAGCGAAAGCUACGCUAAUACCGCAUACGAUCUACGGAUGAAAGCGGGGGAUCGCAAGACCUCGCGCGAUUGGAGCGGCCGAUAUCAGGAUUAGGUAGUUGGUGAGGUAAAGGCUCACCAAGCCGACGAUCUGUAGCUGGUCUGAGAGGACGACCAGCCACACUGGGACUGAGACACGGCCCAGACUCCUACGGGAGGCAGCAGUGGGGAAUUUUGGACAAUGGGCGCAAGCCUGAUCCAGCAAUGCCGCGUGCAGGAUGAAGGCCUCGGUUGUAAACUGCUUUUGUACGGAACGAACGGAGAGCUCUAAUACAGUUGCUAAU
rnacentral:rRNA from 1 species